UGUGAAACAAAUAGUUGAAUAUGAAGCUUCUAACUUUGUAUUACUAGUUUUAUAGUCUAGUUUUCGUAU
rnacentral:tRNA from 2 species